GUCCUCUUCCGAUCUGGCUCCACACCGUCUCUGCCCACAGUCCGGGGCUGUGUGUAGACUUGUACUGACCAGGAUGUCCUUCAGAUUUUUAGCCCUCUUGUAUGCUGACAUUACCUUGUACCCCUUUAGUGUGGCAAAUCCCCUUUGGAAUUGUUCAAACCGGCCCU